rnacentral:miRNA from 1 species
UUGAGUUGGUUCAGAAGAGCU